rnacentral:rRNA from 1 species
AUUGAACGCUGGCGGCAGGCCUAACACAUGCAAGUCGAGCGAGCGGCGGACGGGUGAGUAAUGUAUGGGAAACUGCCUGAUGGAGGGGGAUAACUACUGGAAACGGUAGCUAAUACCGCAUACCAUCAGAUGUGCCCAGAUGGGAUUAGCUAGUAGGUGGGGUAAAGGCUCACCUAGGCGACGAUCCCUAGCUGGUCUGAGAGGAUGAGCAGCCACACUGGGACUGAGACACGGCCCAGACUCCUACGGGAGGCAGCAGUGGGGAAUAUUGCACAAUGGGCGCAAGCCUGAUGCAGCCAUGCCGCGUGUGUGAAGAAGGCCUUCGGGUUGUAAAGCACUUUCAGCGGGGAGGCGUUACUCGCAGAAGAAGCACCGGCUAACUCCGUGCCAGCAGCCGCGGUAAUAC